GACGUAGGGCGCGAGCGUUGUCCGGAUUUAUUGGGCGUAAAGAGCUCGUAGGCGGCUUGUCGCGUCGACUGUGGAAAAACCCGCGGCUCAACUGCGGGCUUGCAGCCGAUACGGGGCAGGCUAGAGUUCGGUAGGGGGAGACUGGAAAUUCCUGGUGUAGCGGUGAAAAUGCGCAGAUAUCAGGAGGAACACCGGUGGCGAAGGCGGGUCUCUGGGCCGAUACUGACGCUGAGGAGCGAAAGCGUGGGGAGCGAACAGG
rnacentral:rRNA from 1 species